UACGAAGGGGGCUAGCGUUACUCGGAUUGACUGGGCGUAAAGGGCGCGUAGGCGGCUUGUACAGUCAGACGUGGAAAUUCCUGGGCUCAACCUGGGGGCUGCGUUUGAUACGUGCGGGCUUGAGUUCGGAAGAGGGUCGUGGAAUUCCCAGUGUAGAGGUGAAAUUCGUAGAUAUUGGGAAGAACACCGGUGGCGAAGGCGGCGACCUGGUCCGAUACUGACGCUGAGGCGCGAAAGCGUGGGGAGCAAACAGG
rnacentral:rRNA from 1 species